rnacentral:rRNA from 1 species
GACGAACGCUGGCGGCGUGCUUAACACAUGCAAGUCGAACGAAGAGCGACGGAAGCUUGCUUCUCUCAAUCUUAGUGGCGAACGGGUGAGUAACGCGUAAUCAACCUGCCCUUCAGAGGGGGACAACAGUUGGAAACGACUGCUAAUACCGCAUACGAUCUAACCUCGGCAUCGAGGAUAGAUGAAAGGUGGCCUCUACAUGUAAGCUAUCACUGAAGGAGGGGAUUGCGUCUGAUUAGCUAGUUGGAGGGGUAACGGCCCACCAAGGCGAUGAUCAGUAGCCGGUCUGAGAGGAUGAACGGCCACAUUGGGACUGAGACACGGCCCAGACUCCUACGGGAGGCAGCAGUGGGGAAUCUUCCGCAAUGGACGAAAGUCUGACGGAGCAACGCCGCGUGAGUGAUGACGGCCUUCGGGUUGUAAAGCUCUGUUAAUCGGGACGAAAGGCCUUCUUGCGAAUAGUGAGAAGGAUUGACGGUACCGGAAGAGAAAGCCACGGCUAACUACGUG